rnacentral:rRNA from 1 species
CCGACCGGCGCACGGGUGAGUAACGCGUAUGCAACUUACCUAUCAGAGGGGGAUAACCCGGCGAAAGUCGGACUAAUACCGCAUGAAGCGGGGGCCCCGCAUGGGGAUAUUUGCUAAAGAUUCAUCGCUGAUAGAUAGGCAUGCGUUCCAUUAGGCAGUUGGCGGGGUAACGGCCCACCUAGUCAACGAUGGAUAGGGGUUCUGAGAGGAAGGUCCCCCACAUUGGAACUGAGACACGGUCCAA